AGGGCAAUCAUCCCAUCCCGUUUUCGGCACCACCACCACAAAUGUACCACUCUACACACACCCACGCUCGACCGAUAAGCUUCACCUUCACAGUCCAGAGACUCCAUACGCUCUCUCUCCCCUUCCCAAUUCUCUCGCACUCCUCUCCCAAACCCUCCUUUCAUCAACUACCAAAAACCAUGCUCUAAAUCCACAAUCUGUGACAACCAAUUACGUCUCUCUCUCGCUCUGUAAUCUCUAGUUCACCAUCUGAAGCACAAACCCUAGAAAAUGUCGGGAGGGUUUUUCAGGGGUACGUCGGCCGAUCAGGACACUCGGUUCUCGAACAAACAAGCCAAGCUGUUGAAAUCGCAGAAGUUCGCUCCCGAAUUGGACCAUCUGGUGGACAUGUCGAAGGUGAAGAUGGAUGUUGUCAGACCUUGGAUUGCGAACCGUGUGACUGAACUCCUUGGAUUUGAAGAUGAAGUUCUUAUCAACUUUAUCUAUGGCCUUCUAGACGGAAAGGAAGUUAAUGGAAAGCAGGUUCAGAUUUCCCUUACUGGAUUCAUGGAGAAAAAUACGGGAAAAUUUAUGAAAGAGCUUUGGAUGCUUCUUCUCAGUGCAGAGAAGAAUGCAAGUGGUGUCCCUCAACAGUUUCUUGACGCCAAAGAAGAGGAGACUAGGAAGAAGAAGGCUGAGUCAGAUAGGAUAGCGAGUGAAAUUCAAAAGAAGAAAGAGAAGGAGAAGGAGAGUAGAGAGCUUGAGCAAGAGAAAAUAAGGAAGAUGGACGGCGAGGCUGACAUCUCGAGAGCUAAUAAUGCUGAUUUGGAACCAAGCUCAAAGCGUCAGUUGAGGGCUUCUGGUGCUCAUUCUGCUGAUGAGAAAGAGACCAGUGAAAGGAAUGGAUCAAGAGGAAGGGGCAGGGUGUCUAGAUCUCCGCAUUCAGCUGAACGUUCCUCGUUGUCUCCUAGAAAAACACGUUCUAGAUCAAUUAGCAGGUCACUCUCCAAUUCCAGAAGUUAUUCAGAUGAAAGAGGCAAGCCAAGAAAUAUAUCUGAAUCUCCUCCUCAACCUAGAGGACGCUCCAUCUCUUCUGAAAGGGUGUAUCACUCUCCUCCAAGACGGUCAGUCACACCUCGUAGGAGGUAUUCACCUCAGCGUUCUCUCUCUCCUUCUAGACGUAGAUUAUCUCAUUCUAGGCGAAGAUCCACAUCACGCUCACGUCGUAGAUCACCUUCUCCUGUACGGCGUAGAUUGCGUUCUCCUUUAAGGCGUAGAUCACGGUCUCCAAUUCGACGUAGGUCAAGAUCACCUGUACGUCGUAGAUCCAGGUCCCCUUUCCGAUAUAGAUCACGGUCACCCAUACGACGUAGAUCUCCAUCUCCUAUGCAGCGUAGGUCACUGUCUCCAGUGCGGCGUAGAUCACCACCCUCUUCAUUGAGGCGUAGAUCUCCGUCUCCUGUAAGACGGCGAUAUCGAAGAUCUCCAUCUACUCCACGGCAUAGGUCUCCAUCUCCAAUUCGACGUAGGUCCCCUAUUUACCGUCGCAGGAGAUCACCAACUCCCUCUAGACAUAGGUCUCCUUCACCCGAUGAGAGGAUUUCUGUGUCUCCAGUGCGCCGCUUGCCCCCGUCACCAGGAAGGAGGAAAUCGCCAAAACGUCAAAAGUCACCUGUUCAAUCUCCUAGAGAAAGAGUCAGGACACUCGAGAAGUUCUCUCCUGUUCGGCAUCCUCGUUCUAGAGAGAAUGUUGAAAACUCUGCUGACAUUCGUAAAGGACCAGAUUCUAUGGUGCGUCGGCCACCGAUUUCUUUGAGGUCACCACAGAGAGAUUCAAGGGAUCGAGACAAUAGCCAUAAAAAAGCAUCAUCUUCAUCGCCUUUGCCGCAUAGGUCUCAAUCUCUUUCAGAAUCUCCACCAGGCUCCAGGAGAAGAAGUCCUAGUGAAGAUAGGAGGUCAUACAGCCCAUAUCAGAGGCCUGUGAAGCAACCAAAAGAACAGAAAGUCCGAGAUAUCAGUGCAAGCCCUCCACAGAAACCUAGAAAUCAAAAUCCUCAUCAUGAGAGUCCAGAAUCUAGCAGAGAGAAGGAAGAGACUAACUAUGCCAGGAACAAUGGGGAUCAGAAACUCAAGUCUUCAGAAAAAAAAUCUUCACAUUCGUCAACAGCAGAUGAGCGUAAAGAUUCACUUGAGAGGGUUCAUUACAAGGUUGACCAUUCUUCUGAAAGGGUUGGUGGUCGCCGGUCUAGUGAAAUCCGUAGUCAUCAUGAUGGCUUGGAAUUGAGAAUGAAAGACCAGGAGAUAAGGAGUGAGAAAACUUCCAGGCGAGUGCUUCAUCCUGAAGUGUCUGAUCAACAACGGUUACCGCCACCAGUUAAUAAAGACUCUUCGUUAAGUGAUGAGAAGAAUAACUCUCGUUCAAAUGAGGUCAAGGGCAGCAAACGGCUUCAUGAAACAGAAACUGCACUGAAGUCAACCAGAAAAGUUGAUGAGAAAGAUAGAAGUGGUUCCUUGAGUUCUGGCUCUCAGGAAAGUGAUAAGCACCGCCCUGAAGUUCAUGAAAAAAGAAAACAUAAAAGGUCCAAAAGGAAAGAAGUGACAUCAGAUGAAAGUUAUGAUUCUGAAAUAGAGGAUAGGAAGGACGCCAAGAGAAGAAGGAAGGAGGAGAAGAGAUCGAGAAAGGAGGAGAGGCGACGACGGAGGGACGAGCGACGCCGCAAGAGGGAAGAGCGACGUGCAGAGAAGCUGAAAGCAAAGUCAAUUGACACUGUCACUCCACCUUCAGAUUUUGUGAAGAAUCAUGAUGGUAAUGCUUCUGAUGGUGAACGCAUUGUGAGGAUGGAGUCUGGUGCAAGCGAUGCUGAAGAAACGGAGUCUGAGAAGAAAAAGCUUGAGAUUGAAUUACGAAAAAAGGCUCUUGAAUCGCUUAGAGCAAAAAAAGGCGCUGGCCAUUAAAUUUAUUGUCUUUUAGAACUUUCGACUGUUAUUUUAACAUUUUAACCCUCUUGAUUAGUAUCUUUAAAGUUUACUGGAAACUUAUGUUUCGAACAAGAGUGUAUUAUUGAUAGCUGUUUAAUGUAGUCUGUGUUUACUGCUGGCAGUUGACAUGGAUAAAUGAGGAUUUCCUGACUCUCUUGAGUGCGACUUUAUGCAGACCUUGCUGCUUGAUAUGCUGAUGAGAAUAUUGUCAACUAGUUGACUUCGUUGAGCAGAUCUUGUGCAACUCCACAUUUUGAACCUCAAAUCAGCUUGAGAGUUAUUCCAGGAACUUUGUUUUAUAAAAUUCUCCGUGGUGCUUUAGGCUUCUGUUGAUUCUGUUCAUCCUGUUCCGAUGUUGACAUCAGCUGUUAAAUCUAUCAGAUGGAAAAUCCAUUUAUGUAUUUGCUCCGGUUUGGUAAACAAUAACAACUUUUAGAUGUUAUUAACCUUUGCAGUUGUUAUGGGCUAUUUAAAUUGGUUUUCCCAUGUCAGCUGAAUUCUGUUAAUCCAGAGAGUGAAAGCUUGAUUAAAUUACUUUUCUUGGCAAA